rnacentral:rRNA from 1 species
ACGCACGCUGGCGGCAUGCCUCACACAUGCCAGUCGCACGAGACCUUCGGGUCUAGUGGCGCACGGGUGCGUCACGCGUGGGAACCUGCCCUUAGGUUCGGAAUAACUCCCCGAAAGGGGUGCUAAUACCGGAUAAUGUCUUCGGACCAAAGAUUUAUCGCCUUUGGAUGGGCCCGCGUUGGAUUAGCUAGUUGGUAGGGUAAAAGCCUACCAAGGCGACGAUCCAUAGCUGGUCUGAGAGGAUGAUCAGCCACACUGGGACUGAGACACGGCCCAGACUCCUACGGGAGGCAGCAGUGGGGAAUAUUGGACAAUGGGCGAAAGCCUGAUCCAGCAAUGCCGCGUGAGUGAUGAAGGCCUUAGGGUUGUAAAGCUCUUUUACCCGGGAUGAUAAUGACAGUACCGGGAGAAUAAGCUCCGGCUAACUCCGUG